CGCUCCACGUCUGUUCCACGUGUGGUCGGCAGGGUGGGCUGGCAAAGGAAAGCCUGCUGUUACUCGGGUAAACACAUCCUGCUGACCCAUCGGCUCUCCAUGAGGAGUCACGCACUCUUACAAUCUUCAUCUUGUGGAGGAGGGAGCUGGGACUCAGAGAGGAGCUGGAGAAGGAAGCACACAUGAGCCGAGCGCUUGUGUCUGGAGGGCCAGGUGGAAGCCGAGCCGAGCACGGGAGGGUUUCUGUUAGUUGCAUGGUGUUCCGGCUCCAGACCGCGGUGUGACUGCGAACCACGCGUGACCCGCUGAGCUCCCAGCUCUCACAGGAACGGACGAGGCCGCCUUUUUUUGGACGUGGGAGGCGAACGGAAGAGGCCUUCGGUGUCAAGCUUCUUACAUUCCCCAGGCUCUGGUCCUAGUUUACGUCAUCAAAGCUGACCUGGGGGGAAAGGGGAAAGAAGAAACCGUGUGUCACGUGACUGCAGGCAAGUCUGCUUUCAGCCGCUCCGUUUUCCUGACUUGCUCAUCCUUGGAAAAUCAUCUGCCGAGAGCUUUCCUGCCCUGAACACCUUCCCUGCCAAGGUCUUCCUCAUCCUUCCGGGACCAACAUCGGUAUUCCCCCUCUCUGGGGAUUUCCGCAAGAGGCCCCCUCCUCUGACUUCCCGUGGAUGCUGCUCUGUGGCUGGAAAGCUCUUUGUAUUCAGGGGAUCUGAUUCACCUUGCCAGGCCCAAAGCCUCGCCCAGCACGCGGCAUCCUGUAUCUAGGAAGUGCCUGUCAAUAGGUUGGCAGAAUGAAUGCAUUAUUUAGUUUUUUUAGAGGGCCAAGCUUGUGCUGAAAGGGUCUGACGGUCUUUUUCUUUUUUAAUUUUUUAAGGUUUUUUUUUUA